GAUGAACGCUAGCGGCAGGCCUAAUACAUGCAAGUCGAACGGUGUCUUCGGACAUAGUGGCGCACGGGUGCGUAACACGUAUGCAACCUACCUUACAUUGGGGGAUAGCCUUUCGAAAGGGAGAUUAAUACCGCAUAAGACAGUAGCUGGGCAUCCAGCAGCUGUUAAAGAUUUAUCGAUGUAAGCUGGGCAUGCGUCCAAUUAGCUAGUUGGUGAGGUAACGGCUCACCAAGGCAAUGAUUGGUAGGGGAACUGAGAGGUCAAUCCCCCACACGGGGACUGAGAUACGGGCCAGACUCCUACGGGAGGCAGCAGUAGGGAAUAUUGGCGAUGGACGCAAGUCUGACCCAGCCAUGCCGCGUGCAGGAUGAAGGCGUUAUGCGUUGUAAACUGCUUUUAUACAGGAAGAAACGACUCUUGCGAGAGGCAUUGACGGUACUGUAUGAAUAAGCACCGGCUAACUCCGUGCCAGCCGCCGCCGUAACAC
rnacentral:rRNA from 1 species